ACCUUCUUGUUAAAGCACUGUGCUAAAAUUACAGAAACCAAGGCUGAGCUUUGGCUUCUGUAAUAAUGCUAGUAGAGUACAUGCAAGAAGAAGAAAAACACUCUGCACUGGAUCAAAAUUGACUAGGGUGGACCUCUUUCUUAAUGUCCAGUGUCCUGUGUCUUAAGAUUUGGUGCAACAGUC
rfam:Egretta garzetta contig29420, whole genome shotgun sequence.